rnacentral:lncRNA from 1 species
ACUGUGGUUUUCACUCACUAUCACACCAAAGGCUGCACUGGCAGUAUUUCCAGGUAUUCUCCUGUGUGCUAAAGUGUGAAACAACGCUGUUUUCAUCUGUAUGUGGGUAGCUCACUUCUGUUGGGUUCUAUUAUUUUCUCCUGUGCUUCUCCAUGUAGCUUCAGCCAGAAGGCCCAGCCACAAGGGCCAAUAGAGAGACUGAGGGACAGUCACAGUCAGCAGCACUCAGAACUACAUCAAAGAAUGUCUUAAUUAAUCUGCCGAUGAAACAGGAGGAAAGGGUGCUUGAGAUUUUGAGAACUUUACACUUUUUUGAGUUUUUGGCAUAUGGUUGAAAACCAAAGAGUUUGGAUUUCAAUUUCCUUCCACAGAGGAAACACUUACAGUUGGAUCAUCACACCCAGAGUCACUUGUCAUAGACCCCAACCUCUUCCAGAGUCACACAUCAUAUACCCUACCCUGCUCCCAGUCUCUGCCCUUCCUGCUUUUGUUCUUAGCUUCCUUUCCAUAGCCUCUGUUUCAAGACUUUUCCUGCGCACCUUAUUCUAAUUCACCUGACGUCUCUACUCCCUCAC